AUUAAGAAAAUGUCUCAAUAUUAAAGAUUGCUUUAUUCUCAUUGCAUUGUUAUAUGCAAUGAAAUCCAGGUGCACUGCCUGACACGGAGCUCAGUAUAAACAUUUAAAAUAAAGAAUAACUUUUCAUACCCACACACAUGUUCAACACAAACACAGUUUCAACACGUCAACACACACGAUUGUCAACAUAUGCAAUCAGGAAUAAGGUGUUGUUGCACAAAAAGGUUGAAAUAUAUUAAUAUAUAGAUAAAUAAAAUAUUGCACAUAAUUAUUGGGCCUGUUGCAUGAUAUUAUCUAAUAGUUGUGUAAUUUUAGUAGAGUUCAGUGUGGUAAUGGCUCUGGGAUAAAAACUGUCCAUCAACCUUGUGGUGCAUGUUUUGAUGGACCUGUAUCACUUUCCUGAUGGCAGACACAUCUUUCUUUUCCAGUAUUUUAUCGGCACCAUCGUUCUCCUGACUUUCCAGUCUUUCCAUCUUCAACAUGACUUGUGGAUUGAUUCUAAACUGGACCGGAGCACCAACCGUGCAGACUUCAGGUGAAGAAUGGUGUUUCCUGAAGAACUCUUCCCACAGCCGGUCUUCCCUAUCAGCACAAUCCUGAGACUCUCUGGGCUCUGCUGCUCUUCAUCACCUGUGAGACAAGAACAACAGGAGCUACUUUAAAUGCUGACAACUGGAACAUUAGAGACCAACUCUGGGAUCUGCUGCUGGUCCCUGAUGUUGAGGACAAACUGUCUUCCUCCACAGCUCUGACGGAGCUCCUGGAUGUCCUUGUUUUCCUUUAGAAAGUUAUCAACAGCUGGAGCUGUAGGAUC